CUAUCCUACGGGACGCAGCAGUGAGGAAUAUUGGUCAAUGGGCGGUAGCCUGAACCAGCCAAGUAGCGUGAAGGAUGAAGGUUCUAUGGAUUGUAAACUUCUUUUAUAAAGGAAUAAAGUGAGGCACGUGUGCCUUUUUGUAUGUACUUUAUGAAUAAGGAUCGGCUAGCUCCGUGCCAGCAGCCGCGGUAAUACGGAGGAUCCGAGCGUUAUCCGGAUUUAUUGGGUUUAAAGGGAGCGUAGAUGGUUUGUUAAGUCAGUUGUGAACGUUUGCGGCUCAACUGUAAAAUUGCAAUUGAUACUGG
rnacentral:rRNA from 1 species